rnacentral:rRNA from 1 species
UACGUAGGUGGCAAGCGUUGUCCGGAUUUACUGGGCGUAAAGAGCGCGCAGGCGGUCGUUCAAGUCGCGUGUGAAAGCCCCCGGCUCAACUGGGGAGGGUCACGCGAUACUGAUCGACUCGAAGGCAGGAGAGGGUAGUGGAAUUCCCGGUGUAGUGGUGAAAUGCGUAGAUAUCGGGAGGAACACCAGUGGCGAAGGCGACUACCUGGCCUGUCCUUGACGCUGAGGCGCGAAAGCCAGGGGAGCAAACGGG